UACGUAGGUGGCAAGCGUUGUCCGGAUUUACUGGGCGUAAAGGGCGUGCAGGCGGUCUGUUAAGUUCAGGGUGAAAGCUCCCGGCUCAACUGGGAGAGGUCCUUGGAUACUGGCAGACUUGAGGGAGGUAGAGGAGAGUGGAAUUCCCGGUGUAGUGGUGAUAUGCGUAGAUAUCAGGAGGAACACCGGUGGCGAAGGCGGCCACCUGGACCGGUACUGACGCUGAGACACGAAAGCGUGGGGAGCAAACAGG
rnacentral:rRNA from 1 species